GGAAACCUGAAAACUACCGUUAGAUCGGAAAAUGGAUGUUUGAGAUUUAUCCACUUCACCAUGAGUAAAAAUUUUACUCGCAGACUCGCAGAUCUACUAAUGAGUAAAAGUUUUUUUUAGAGUAAAAUUUUUACUCAUGGUGAUUCUGAGAGUAAAAUUUUUACUCAUGAUGAUGUGGAUGAGUCUCGGACGUUUAUUUUUUUUAUCCUAUGGUGGUUUCCAAUUUUUU
rnacentral:pre_miRNA from 1 species